rnacentral:rRNA from 1 species
CCUACGGGAGGCAGCAGUGAGGAAUAUUGGUCAAUGGGCGCGAGCCUGAACCAGCCAAGUCGCGUGAGGGAAGACGGUCCUAUGGAUUGUAAACCUCUUUUGUCGGGGAGCAAAAGACGCCACGCGUGGCGUUCCGAGAGUACCCGAAGAAAAAGCAUCGGCUAACUUGGUGCCAGCAGCCGCGGUAAUACGGAGGAUGCGAGCGUUAUCCGGAUUUAUUGGGUUUAAAGGGUGCGCAGGCGGAAGAUCAAGUCAGCGGUAAAAUUGAGAGGCUCAACCUCUUCGAGCCGUUGAAACUGGUUUUCUUGAGUGAGUGAGAAGUAUGCGGAAUGCGAGGUGUAGCGGUGAAAUGCGUAGAUAUCACGAAGAACUCCGAUUGCGAAGGCAGCAUACCGGCGCUCAACUGACGCUCAUGCACGAAAGUGUGGGUAGCGAACAGGAUUAGAUACCCGGGUAGUC